CAGGAGGAGGUGGGACGGGGGAAGGCGAGUGGGGAACGGAUGGACGUCGGAGCUGAGCGGAGCAUCUGGGAAGAAGAAAACAAGGAGGAAAGAGCCAGAGAGAAGAGGCUGGGACUAGAUAAAGUCCUCAAAGUCCCCUACCCAUGACCUACUUCCUUCCCCUGGGCACCUCCCAAUAGUGCCAUCAAACUAUGAUGUCAUCAGUGGAUCCAUCCACUUGGUGAAAUUAGAGCCCUCGUGAUCCAAUCACAAAGACCAUCAGCAGGCAACUGAAUCUCAGCACAUGAAGUUUUAGGGGAUACUUCAAAUUCAAACUCUAAUAAACCCAUGACUGCUUUUGCAUUUGAGGACAUGUUGCUUUGCACACUUUUUCUCUUGGGGCCUCCCUGUGAUUGGGGGGGGGGGCACAAGGCCCUGUGUGGUCCCUUCUUCCCCUCCAUGCUGAAGAGCGACUACCCAGGAGUACCCAGUGAAGGGAGGAAGGAACCCAUGAAGGGGUGACAGGAUGCCAGAGUCCACUCUGGUCAACAAAUGGUAUUUGCUUUUCAGUAGAGAAAAAUCUCACCAUCUCUUUCCAGCCCAUAAUAAAAGAAAAUGCAAUCUUGAUGAGAAUUAUUUUUUAAAUAAUUUGGAAAUAAAACAAGUGGUCAAAAAGAGCAAUGGACAAAUGAAUGUGUCUAAUACUCCCAAUAGACAAGCAGGAGGAAAUAAGUUUGUGAUGAGAAAUCACACAUGGUGCCUUCACACACCCACACACUGAGUGAUUUGGAGGUAGGAUUAGGAAAGUCAAACUCCAUAGUUCCAAGUUCCAUAGGCUUAAAAUAGUAGGAAUGGUUGACUGAUGAAUAGGUUAAUUCAAAAGAGGGCUUCCAACUGCCCACUGGCCCUAGCCCCAGUUAAAAUAACUUCCAGAAAUAGUUUUUUAAAAAUGUAUUGUCUAUGCAAAGGAUUCUUUCUAAAUAACCUACAUCAGAGUUUGGCAUACUGUCUGCCGCAGUUUUGGUAACUAAAAUUUCUUGGAACACAGUCACACCCAUUUAACUUUGUGUUCUCUGUGGCUGAUUCUCACUGCAAUGACAGGGUGAGGUAGUUGUGAUAAAAACCCAUGGUCCACACAAUAAAAAAACUGAAAAUGGUCCUUUAUAGAAAAAAUUUGCUGACCUUGAC
rnacentral:lncRNA from 1 species